AGUGAACGCUGGCGGUAGGCCUAACACAUGCAAGUCGAACGGCAGCACAGUAAGAGCUUGCUCUUACGGGUGGCGAGUGGCGGACGGGUGAGGAAUACAUCGGAAUCUACUUUUUCGUGGGGGAUAACGUAGGGAAACUUACGCUAAUACCGCAUACGACCUACGGGUGAAAUCAGGGGAUCUUCGGACCUUGCGCGAUUGAAUUAGCCGAUGUCGGAUUAGCUAGUUGGCGGGGUAAAGGCCCACCAAGGCGAAGAUCCGUAGCUGGUCUGAGAGGAUGAUAAGCCACACUGGAACUGAGACACGGUCCAGACUCCUACGGGAGGCAGCAGUGGGGAAUAUUGGACAAUGGGCGCAAGCCUGAUCCAGCCAUACCGCGUGGGUGAAGAAGGCCUUCGGGUUGUAAAGCCCUUUUGUUGGGAAAGAAAAGCAGCAGGUUAAUACCCCGCUGUUCUGACGGUACCCAAAGAAUAAGCACCGGCUAACUUCGUG
rnacentral:rRNA from 1 species